AUUGAACGCUGGCGGCAUGCUUUACACAUGCAAGUCGAACGGUAACAGGCCGCAAGGUGCUGACGAGUGGCGAACGGGUGAGUAAUGCAUCGGAACGUGCCCAGCCGUGGGGGAUAACUACUCGAAAGAGUAGCUAAUACCGCAUACGAUCUAUGGAUGAACGCGGGGGACCGUAAGGCCUCGCGCGAUUGGAGCGGCCGAUGUCAGAUUAGGUAGUUGGUGGGGUAAAGGCUCACCAAGCCCACGAUCUGUAGCUGGUCUGAGAGGACGACCAGCCACACUGGGACUGAGACACGGCCAAGACUCCUACGGGAGGCAGCAGUGGGGAAUGUGGGACAAUGGGCGCAAGCCUGAUCCAGCAAUGCCGCGUGCAGGAAGAAGGCGUUCGGGUUGUAAAGUGCUUUUGUACGGAACGAAACGGCUCUGGUUAAGACCCGGGGCUAAUGACGGUACCGUAAGAAUAAGCACCGGCUAACUACGUG
rnacentral:rRNA from 1 species